rnacentral:rRNA from 1 species
CAGUCGCCGCGGGAAUACGAAGGGUGCAAGCGUUACUCGGAAUUACUGGGCGUAAAGCGUGCGUAGGUGGUGGUUUAAGUCCGUUGUGAAAGCCCUGGGCUCAACCUGGGAAUUGCAGUGGAUACUGGGUCACUAGAGUGUGGUAGAGGAUAGUGGAAUUUCCGGUGUAGCAGUGAAAUGCGUAGAGAUCGGAAGGAACAUCUGUGGCGAAGGCGACUAUCUGGGCCAACACUGACACUGAGGCACGAAAGCGUGGGGAGCAAACAGGAUUAGACACCCGCGUAGUCCCUGUCUCUUAUAC